rnacentral:ncRNA from 1 species
UGGUUCCCGAAAGACGUCAGUCAACCGGGAUGAAAAGGGAAUACGGUGCGGCCUCCGCAAGGUGCCAAUUCCGUGACUGCCCCCGCAACUGUAAGCGGCAAGCGACCCCGAGAACACCACUGAGCGUCAUGCGCUUGGGAAGGUUCGGGAGAGCUACAACCCGCGAGUCAGGAGACCUGCCAUCCAAGAUG